rnacentral:tRNA from 1 species
GCCUUCGUGGUGUAGUGGUCAGUACGCUCGACGCGUAACCGAGAGGUCCGUGGUUCAAUUCCCGGCGAAAGCA